rnacentral:rRNA from 1 species
AUGUCUACGCCAACUGGGAAUUACGUUCAUCCGGACGUGAUUGGGAAUGCGUUUGCUCAACAAUACUACAGAGUUUUGAAUUCGUCGCCAGAGCAUGUCCAUAAGUUCUAUCAUGAUGAAAGUAUCCUUGGUCGACCAGAUUCUGAUGGUCCAUUGACAUCUAUAACCACUACAUACGCUAUCAAUCAACACUUCUUAUCUACAGAUAUGAAGGGAUGUUUGAUACAGUUAGAUAAUGUAGAUACUCAGCCCUCCCACGGUGGUGGUGUGCUCAUUUUGGUUACUGGAUCUCUUACCAUGCUUGAUACUGUGAAGCAUAGAUUUGUUCAGUCAUUCUUCCUUGCUCCACAAGAAAAUGGAGGCUAUUUUGUUUUGAAUGAUGUGCUUCGAGGUGUGCCGGAGAUGCCAUUGGCUGAGACAAAUGAAGCUUUAGUUGACCAUGUUAAUGGAAACACUCAGAUUGCCCCAUUUCCAGCUGAACCAGAAACAUCUGUCAAGGAGAGCGUGGACCCAGAGCUUCCAUCUGCAGGGAAUAUUUCCACCAAUGGUGAAGUCAUAAAUCCAUCUGCAGAGACGAUUCCUGUGGAUGCUGAAGUCAUAAAUCCAUCGGCAGAGAAUAUUUCCAUCAAUGAUGAAGUCAUGGAUCCAUCUGUAGAGAGUAUUUCUAGCAAGGACAAAGUCAUAAAUUCAUUUGGAAAUGAAAAUUCUCAAAUUAAGAAUGAUGCUAUUAAGAUACCUGAGGUAGCACCUACUCCUGCUUCAGCUCAGAAGGAUGUUAUUAAGAAGACUUAUGCAUCGAUCGUUAAGGCCACAAAUGAGAGCAUACCGCCAGCACCCAUUACCAAACCCAAACCCAAACCCAAACCUAGACCAAAUCCAACAGUAAAGAGAGCUGAAAAUGUGGAGAAAUCUUCGUCUGUUCCUGCAAAAACUACGCAUGCAGCUGAUACUGCGCCUCCAAAUGACCAAAAUAUUUCUGAUGACCAAGGGUAUUCAAUCUUUGUGAAGAACUUGCCUUGGAAUGCAACUAUCGAAAUGGUUGAGGCUGAGUUCAGUAAGUUUGGUUCAAUCAAGCCUCGUGGUAUACAAGUUGUACACCGUCAGGCUGAUGGGUUCUGCUUUGGCUUUGUUGAAUUUGAGUCUGAAAAAUCAAUGAAUGCAGCAAUCGAGGUAUUUAAAGUUCGUUUUGGCUCGUAUGUGUCUUAUGUCGAGGAGAAGCGAACUCCAAAACGAGUUGUUAAUGGAGUCACCCAUAGUGAGUACAAUGGCAAUGCCCGGGGCAGUCGGGUCCUGCCAGACAGAGGUGGUUACCAUGGCGACAACUUCAGGGGACAGGGAGCAGGCUUUGUGAACAAUGGCAACUACCGUGAUGGCGACAACUUCAGGGGUCAGGGAGCGAGCUUUGUGAACAACAUUAACUACCGUGAUGGUGAAAACUUCAGAGGGCGGGGAGCGGGCUUUGUGAACAAUGGUAACAACUACCGUGAUGGCAAUAACAUGAGGAAUGAUAACAGAAAUCAGAACGAGUACUCAGGCCAUGGUCGAGGACAGCAGGGGAAUGACUACCGCCAGAAUGACACCCGUCAGAACAGGAAUGACUACCGUCAGGACGGGAACGGCUACCGCCAGAAUGGAGAUGACUACCGCCAGAACAGGGAUGGCUACCGUCAGAUCGGAGAUGGCUUCCGCCAUAACAGGGACGGCUACCGCCAGAACGGAGAUGGCUUCCGCCAGAACAGGGACGGCUACCGCCAGAACGGAGAUGACUACCGCCAGAAUGGGAACGGACACCAUCAGCCACGCCCCGUCCAUAACGGGAACGGGAAUGCGAAUGGGAGGCCUGGCCGCUUCAAUGGUCCCAAGCAAAUAGCAGUUACCGCAUAG